GCGGCUGUGGUCUAAUGGUAUGACCCGAGCCCUCCAAGCUCGUGGCCCGGGUUCGAUUCCCGGCGGCCGCA
rnacentral:tRNA from 1 species